rnacentral:lncRNA from 1 species
AUCAACAUAUCUGAAAAAAUAAGGCAUCCCAGAAGUUAUUCAGUUUCUAUUUCUGUACAACAAUCCUCUUUUUUAUUGAAGACCGAGGGCCUAUCAGUGACCAUAAAGAUCACGUUAGUCACUCAUUACCUUUUCCAUACGUGAAAUGUUGCAACAGAGAACCAGGAACCAGACUAUAAAGCUGUAAAACGAUACAGAAUGCACCUUGGCACGUUCCUAUGCUGUGGUUCAAAUUGCUCCUCUAUUGAAGCGCAGGGAGGAGGCCACUAAACGGAGAGUUCUGGGAAAAGGGUGUGUCCAAGGUGAUGGUAUAAAUCAGCUGUGUUGGACAGGCACACAUCCACUAAACGCCAUUAACGGACCCUUAGAGACCCUCACAGCUGACUUAUCGCACUCCAGUUAAUCCUUCUGGACCUUCUGUUCUCUACCACAACAUGAUGUUUCUGACUGCUGGUUUCUGUCUUCUGGCCAUGGUGGCCUCCUCCAUGGCACAGGAAUCAAGCAACACUACGGUGGCAUUAAACAGCACAACAGUAGGACCGACUACUGGCAACGUAACCGCUGUGCUGCCUGUAACAAACGCCACUGUAUCUGCAAACAGCACCACGGUUGCUGCUAACGCCACCACGGUACCAUCCAACGCCACUACGGUACCAUCCAACAUCACCACUGUACCAUCCAACGUUACAACAGUUCCAUCUAACACCACUACAGUGCCAUCCAACGCCACCACGAUUCCAUCCAAUGCCACCACGGUGCCAUCCAACAUCACCACCACGCUCGGACCCAACGUCACCACUGUGAUUACCGCCACAACGCCUUCCGGCAGUCCUGACCUUCAGUCUACCCUACUACCGAUCCUUCUCCCCGCCCUGUAUCUGCUGUGGAACCGAUCAUAACCUGGUUCAGGUGAUGAACCAACCACAGACUCUACAUCACCGUGAAGAUCUCACCCUCUUUACCGCCAUUUAUAGACUUCUUACUGGUCUCGGACCUGUGAUCGUCCGGCCCGGUGCUCAGGAGCAUUGAAUUAUACGUAACUGGGCCACGAAGCUCACUCUGCGAACGCAGUUUUUUUUUUUUUAUUAUUACUUAAGAUGAUGAAGUUUUUGGUCGGCAAGAUCAAGACUGAAUUGCACAAAACAGAUUUGUUCCCCUUUAAUUUGUAGCACUGAUUAAAAAAAUAUAUUUAUACGUUUGUCUUUGUUAAAGACGUAUCCGUGGAUGUCACCUUCAUUUUUGUAUAUGUUGUUUAAUAUGUAGUAAUAAAAAAAUAAAUAAAUAAAUUAACUACA